AGCCUGCACGUGGGAACAUCCUUUCCACCCUCACUCAGGCCCAGAUCUCAAUCUACACGGUCCAUAUACUUCAAGGGAGGAAAGGAGCAAUGGAGGAAAGGAGACAGGAUUUGGUAAACAGCACACUGUCUUUGCUCUAAAACCAGAAGACAAGGAGUGUUUUUCUGCAGAGCAGGACAUUAAGGCUCAGAAUGGUUGACAUGACCAAUACCAUGGUCAAUAAGUGGACAGAUCAGGAUCUGAACUCAAGUCUUCUAGUUCCAGUCUGUUCCUCUUCUCCUCCUGUGGAUACAUCUUGCUGAGCAAGUCACAGAGACUUAAGUAUAUUCCAGGGGCUGCCCAAGCCACCUCCUUUUUCUCCUUACCUCCAGGUCUCGCCAAUCAGUGUGGACUGGAGGGUUCGUCAGGAUGUUCAGAGCUUGGACCGUCACUGUUUCCUCAUCACUGCUCCAUAGGGAUGAGCACAAUCCAUGCUCCAGGCCCCCAGGCACAGCCCUGGAGCCUACAGGGAAGCUGUCAUCCCACCACCUACCCCACUACUUCUUCCCGCCCAAGAUGGAGCAGAGUCCUUCCUUGAAGAAAUUGACCUAACUGCU